CGCGCUUGUGCUCGCGCUCGUUCCUGGAGUCGGCGGCCGCUGCGCGCGCUCGUUGCCCAACCCGGUCCCCGCCCCCAGACACGCCGGGCUCUCGGGGCACCACAGCCAUGUGCUCGUUAGCGUCAGGCGCUACCGGUUAUUCACAUCUGCUGAAGAAACAUUUUCACACUGUAAGUCUGAGCAUCAGUUUAAUAUUGACAGCAUGGUUCAUAAACAUGGACUUGAAUUUUAUGGAUACAUUAAGCUAAUAAAUUUUAUUAGACUUAAGAAUCCUACAGUUGAGUACAUGAAUUCCAUAUACAACCCAGUGCCUUGGGAGAAAGAAGAGUAUUUGAAGCCAGUAUUAGAAGAUGACCUUUUACUUCAAUUUGCAGAAAGCAAAACAGAAACUGGCCAAACAGUUUGAAGAAUUUUGAAAUCAAAAUACAAAAUGAGAUGUAGAAGAUCUUUAUGAACCGGUGUCAGUACCCUUCUCAUACCCCAAUGGACUCAGUGAAAAUACAUCUGUUGUUGAAAAAUUGAAACAUAUGGAAGCCAGGGCACUGUCUGCUGAAGCCGCAUUGGCCAGAGCACGUGAGGAUCUGCAAAAAAUGAAACAAUUUGCUCAGGAUUUUGUGAUGCACACAGAUGUCAGAACCUGCUCGUCAUCUACUAGUGUCAUUGCGGACCUCCAGGAGGAUG
rnacentral:lncRNA from 1 species